GUGGGGAAUUUUGGACAAUGGGGGCAACCCUGAUCCAGCCAUGCCGCGUGCGGGAAGAAGGCCUUCGGGUUGUAAACCGCUUUUGUCAGGGAAGAAAUCCUUUGGGUUAAUACCUCGGAGGGAUGACGGUACCUGAAGAAUAAGCACCGGCUAACUACGUGCCAGCAGCCGCGGUAAUACGUAGGGUGCGAGCGUUAAUCGGAAUUACUGGGCGUAAAGCGUGCGCAGGCGGUUUUGUAAGAUCGAUGUGAAAGCCCCGGGCUCAACCUGGGAACUGCAUUGGUGACUGCAAGGCUGGAGUGCGGCAGAGGGGGAUGGAAUUCCGCGUGUAGCAGUGAAAUGCGUAGAUAUGCGGAGGAACACCGAUGGCGAAGGCAAUCCCCUGGGCCUGCACUGACGCUCAUGCACGAAAGCGUGGGGAGCAAACAGGAUUAGAUACCCUAGUAGUCC
rnacentral:rRNA from 1 species